rnacentral:ncRNA from 1 species
AUAAAGUUUGAUUUGAUCUUUAUAGUUAAUUACCUGUAUCAAUUAUAUGGUAUAUAUUUAAAUUAAUUUAUGUCAGUAAAAAGUAUUUUCAUAUAUAUUUAUUUAUAUUAAGGUAUAUUAUAAUUAUGGAUAAAUAUUGUGCCAGCAUUCGCGGUUAUACAAUUUAUAAAAAUUAACUUUUUUAGUUUUAAUUUUGUUAAAAUGAAUAAAAAAUUAAUUUAUUUAGGUGGAAUUUUUAUUUUUAAUUUAUUUCUUUUCUUUAUUUUUAUUAAAUCAUUAUUUUAAAUUAGGAUUAGAUACCCUAUUAUUAAUAGAUUUAAAUUUUCUUUACUUUACUAUUAAUAGCUAUUUUCUAUGAAAUUUGAAUAAUUUGGCGGUAAUUUAUUAUUAGGGGAACCUGUUCUUUAAUUGAUAAACCACGAUAGUUUAUACUUAGAAUUUUACUUGUAUAUCUCUAUAUUAUGGAUUAUUUUUAUAAAAAUUAUUUUUAAUUUUUUUAAGAUUUAUGUUAGGUCAAGGUGCAGUUUUUUUUAAGUUAGUGUGGGUUACUUUAAUUUUAAAUAUAUUAGAAUUAUUAUUGUUGAUUUAAUUUGAAAUCGGAUUUAAUAGUAAUUUUUGGUCUUACCUAUUUUGAAUAAUUUUUUAAAUUAUGCACAUAUUGCCCGUCACUCUCAUUAUAGUUGGGAUAAGUCGUAACAAAGUAAUUGUACUGGAAAGUGUAAUUAGAUUA